UAUAACAUGGAUAAUGUAUAUAUGUGUAUAAUAUAGAAGGAAUAUGGGUAUAACAUGGAUAAUGUAUAUAUGUGUAUAAUAUAGAAAGAAUAUGGGUAUAACAGGGAUAAAGGAUAUAUGUGUAUAAUAUAGAGGGAAUAUGGGUAUAACAUGGAUAAAAUAUGAGUAUUUUAUAGAUAGAAUAUAGGUAUAACAUGGGUAAAGUAUAUGUGUAUAAUAUAGAUGGAUUAUGGGUAUAACAUGGGCAUGAUGUGUGGCUAUAACAUGAAUAAAGUAUAUAUGUGUAUAAUAUAGAUAGAAAAUGGGUAUAUCAUAGGUAUAAUGUGUGUGUGUAUAAUAUAUGUAACUUGGGUAUAGAAUUUGUGCAUAAUAUAAGUAUGAUGGGGGAGAUUUAUCAAAACCAGUGGGAAGGCAAAGUUGCCCAUAGCAACCAAUCAGAUCACUUCUUUCAUUUUUCCCAGGCCUUGUUAAGAAUGAAAGCAAUCAGAUUGGUUGCUAUGGGUAACUGGGCAACUUUUCCUGUCCACUGGUUUUGAUAAAUGUCCCCUGAUAUCUUUAUAUGUGUAUAGCAGUGUUUUCCAAACAGUGUGUCUCCAGCUGUUGCAAGACUACAACUCCAAGCAUGCCCAGACAGCCGAAGUAGCUUGUGCAAGUAGCUCGAAGAAGUGCCAGGUCGGCACAAAACUGUGCAGUCCUACCCGCACCCCCUGCCUCCCGUCCAGCCCUCCCUUGCCCUGAUGUGUACGUCGCACCUCUUGGAAUAAACAGAAGUUCAUUUGCAGAACGGAAUAGCUAAUAAGCCAAUCACAUAGCAGCAACUCAAUAAAUCUAGGCAUGAAGACAAGGUCAAGACAACUUCCUGAAGCAUCAGAAUGGAAAAGAUGAACGAUUCUCAAAAGGCGAAUAAAAAUAUGGUGACUACAAAGUAAUAAAAUAAUA